GGGGGCGACCUAGAUUCGACGGAGGUACUGUUUCGCAGGAUGCGUGCCGAGGACCAUCACCCUCGCUAAUCAGAUGGAAACAACCAUAACUGCGGACACGCAGCUCGCACUCGCAGCCUAAGAACCUGUGAGCGUCUACCCCGGUCAGCCUGCGGGCUGGGAGUGGAUGUCAUUUCAGCAGGCUGGUUUCUGACGGCCGCUCCCGGACGUUAGGGGCGAGAUUUUCCGGGGCUGGCUCCUGGCGGUUUUUCGCCGCUUCUCCACGUCCGGGGGCGACAAUUCAGAAGCGGAUACGCAUCGUAGUAUUCCUGCGGGAAUGUAUUUUCGGACGCGGGUGCGAAUCCCGCCGCCUCCACCA
rnacentral:tmRNA from 1 species